rnacentral:rRNA from 1 species
GCAGGCCUAACACAUGCAAGUCGAGCGGAAACGAUGGGAGCUUGCUCCCAGGCGUCGAGCGGCGGACGGGUGAGUAAUGCAUGGGAAUCUGCCCGAUAGUGGGGGAUAACCUUUCGAAAGGAAGGCUAAUACCGCGUACGUCCUACGGGAGAAAGUGGGGUUUCGGCCUCACGCUAUCGGAUGAGCCCAUGUCGGAUUAGCUAGUGGGUGAAGUAAUGGUUUACCAAGGCGACGAUCCGUAGCUGGUCUGAGAGGAUGAUCAGCCACACCGGAACUGAGACACGGUCCGGACUCCUACGGGAGGCAGCAGUGGGGAAUAUUGGACAAUGGGGGCAACCCUGAUCCAGCCAUGCCGCGUGUGUGAAGAAGGCCUUCGGGUUGUAAAGCACUUGCAGCGAGGAGGAAAGCGUUAAGGUUAAUACCCUUAGCGUGUGACGUUACUCGCAGAAGAAGCACCGGCAAACUCCGUGCCAGCAGCCGCGGU